CACAUGCCCGUGAUGAGAUAACUGACAGCAGCUGUUGGAGUGGGACGGGUAGUACUAGAGGCUGUUUCCAGCAGCCCAGCUGGGCUGGAGUUGUUGCUGGAGCUCUGGGCAGUCAGAGUGGGCUGGCAGCUGGUUGGGUCAGGAGCUGUGCUAGUGCAUGCAGGUACACUUGAAAACAAUCAAAGAAAAUGAUGAGGAUUUGCUUCUGAUGUAAUGACGUAUCCCCCUGACAUCACAGUGAAGAAUGAAUGUUUCUCCCUACAAAAAUCACAAUAACACCUGAAAGCCAUGAUGGUGGAGACCAGGCCUGCUGAGGCAGAGGCAUUGGUUGCUCCUGGAGUCUAGAAGGUGUUGGGCAAAUUGUCCCUGAAUGAAGGUUUCACCUGCAUGGGCAGAGGCUCACUGAGCAAUGCAAGUGCAGGCUCCAUUCCUCUGGGUGGAAUGGGGCUUCUAGGAACAGACCGCACUGCAAGAGUGCCAGGGGAGCAAAAGAGCAAACCCUGCAAGCAGAACUGGUACCAAUGCAGUAAUUGCAGGUGGCAUAGGUCUUUCUGAAAGUCAUCAAAGGCUUUUCAGUAACAUGUCACGGGCAGUGGGGUGGUGGUGUGUGCAUGUGAAGAGCUUAGGGAUGAUUUCAUCAGCAAAACUGGAAAAUUUAAGGCCCAACAACGUCUCAGACAUUGCAACCCCCAAGUUUGCGUUCCAUCGUCAUAUUAAUCUUCCCCUCUACGUUAUCCAGAAAGUACCUGUGUCCUUGCACACAACUGGCAGCUGUAAAAUAAACACAACAUCAAUUAUGGAUGAGCGUGCCCCAUGAUAUGUUCCCUGCAGCUGAUGCCUACAGGCUGGCUGAGUGCUUCAGCUCACAUCCACUCUCAUUCUCAAUGGUCUUCAGAAACAGACUUACACAGAUGCCCCUUCUGGUACUUUCUGGGAGGUGGCAGAGCUGGAGUUGACAAGACAAAGGGAUGGAGCAGAGGAAGGUGCUUGGCUGCCUUCCUGCAUGAAGAUGGGGGAGGUUUUGUCUGUGCAUGCCACAUGCACCUCAGCUAGAGCUCUGCAUCAGGGAUGGGCACUGCUGGGGGGCGCACAUGGCAGCAUCUCCCAUGAGCCAUGUCUCUACGUGAACAGCCCGGGGUCCUCACCAAGAUUAAGGUCCUGAUUUAGCUGUUUUUUUCUAAUUAACCAGACAAAUGGCUGCUAACUUUGAAAGCGAUUUGCUUGAGUAAGGAAGGCAGUAGUAUGUAAUUCAGGAUUUAUUCAUAUUUUAUGAAGUGUUUAAGAAUUCUUCAGAAGGAAUUGUUAUGCACAUAUAAUAUCAGUUAUAUAUAAGACUGCUUGAUUCAACAAUGAACAAAUAAAAAGGGCAAUUUUAUCUUUUAUUGUCCCCUUUCCCCAUUUUCACUUUGUCUGGAAUAAAAUUAAUAAUAAUACUAUUUCUAGCAUGUCUGAAUGUCUAUUGAAAUAAUAAAUCAAG